GACGAACGCUGGCGGCGUGCUUAACACAUGCAAGUCGAACGGAAAGGCCCUGCUUUUGUGGGGUGCUCGAGUGGCGAACGGGUGAGUAACACGUGAGUAACCUGCCCUUGACUUUGGGAUAACUUCAGGAAACUGGGGCUAAUACCGGAUAGGAGCUCCUGCUGCAUGGUGGGGGUUGGAAAGUUUCGGCAGUUGGGGAUGGACUCGCGGCUUAUCAGCUUGUUGGUGGGGUAGUGGCUUACCAAGGCUUUGACGGGUAGCCGGCCUGAGAGGGUGACCGGACACAUUGGGACUGAGAUACGGCCCAGACUCCUACGGGAGGAAGCAGUGGGGAAUAUUGCACAAUGGGCGGAAGCCUGAUGCAGAAACGCCGCGUGCGGGAUGACGGCCUUCGGGUUGUAAACCGCUUUCGCCUGUGACGAAGCGUGAGUGACGGUAAUGGGUAAAGAAGCACCGGCUAAAUACGUG
rnacentral:rRNA from 1 species